GGUGAGUAACACGUGGAUAACCUACCUAUAAGACUGGGAUAACUUCGGGAAACCGGAGCUAAUACCGGAUAAUAUAUUGAACCGCAUGGUUCAAUAGUGAAAGACGGUUUUGCUGUCACUUAUAGAUGGAUCCGCGCAGCAUUAGCUAGUUGGUAAGGUAACGGCUUACAAAGGCAACGAUGCGUAGCCGACCUGAGAGGGUGAUCGGCCACACUGGAACUGAGACACGGUCCAG
rnacentral:rRNA from 1 species